UACGUAGGGUGCAAGCGUUAAUCGGAAUUACUGGGCGUAAAGCGUGCGCAGGCGGUUAUGCAAGACAGAGGUGAAAUCCCCCGGGCUCAACCUGGGAACUGCCUUUGUGACUGCAUAGCUAGAGUACGGUAGAGGGGGAUGGAAUUCCGCGUGUAGCAGUGAAAUGCGUAGAUAUGCGGAGGAACACCGAUGGCGAAGGCAAUCCCCUGGACCUGUACUGACGCUCAUGCACGAAAGCGUGGGGAGCAAACAGG
rnacentral:rRNA from 1 species